rnacentral:rRNA from 1 species
AUUGAACGCUGGCGGCAUGCUUUACACAUGCAAGUCGAACGGCAGCGGGGAGGAGCUUGCUUCUCUGCCGGCGAGUGGCGAACGGGUGAGUAAUACAUCGGAACGUGUCGAGAAGAGGGGGAUAACCACCCGAAAGGGUGGCUAAUACCGCAUAAAUUCUGAGGAGGAAAGCUGGGGACCUAGGAAUAGGCCUAGCGCUUUUUGAGCGGCCGAUGUCGGAUUAGCUAGUUGGUGAGGUAAAGGCUCACCAAGGCGAAGAUCUGUAGCGGGUCUGAGAGGAUGAUCCGCCACACUGGGACUGAGACACGGCCCAGACUCCUACGGGAGGCAGCAGUGGGGAAUUUUGGACAAUGGGGGCAACCCUGAUCCAGCCAUGCCGCGUGUAUGAAGAAGGCCUUAGGGUUGUAAAGUACUUUUGUUAGGGAAGAAAAGUCAGCUGUGAAUAAUGGCUGAUACUGACGGUACCUAAAGAAUAAGCACCGGCUAACUACGUG